rnacentral:rRNA from 1 species
ACGGAAGGCAGCAGUGGGGAAUAUUGCACAAUGGGCGCAAGCCUGAUGCAGCGAUGCCGCGUGAGGGAAGAAGGUUUUCGGAUUGUAAACCUCUGUCAACAGGGACGAAAAUGACGGUACCUGUGAAGGAAGCUCCGGCUAACUACGUGCCAGCAGCCGCGGUAAUACGUAGGGGGCAAGCGUUAUCCGGAAUUAUUGGGCGUAAAGAGUGCGUAGGUGGUUACCUAAGCGCAAGGUUUAAUCUUGAGGCUUAACCUCAUUCUGCCUUGCGAACUGGGCUACUUGAGUGCAGGAGGGGAAAGCGGAAUUCCUAGUGUAGCGGUGAAAUGCGUAGAUAUUAGGAAGAACACCGGUGGCGAAGGCGGCUUUCUGGACUGUAACUGACACUGAGGCACGAAAGCGUGGGGAGCAAACAGGAUUAGAUACCCUGGUA